AGAAGCAACCACAGACCCUACCCUCUUCUCCCAGAGUUCAAUGCAGGCAGUGAUGCUUAUUCACCAGCAAUUGUGCCUCAGCUUUGCUCGGUCCCUCUGGUACCAACAGACUCUGCCACCACAUGAAGCAAAGCAUUACCUCAGCUUGUUUUUGUCCUGCUAUCAGACUGGAGCAUCUCUUGUAACACAUUUCUACCCCCUGAUGGGAGUUGAGCUGAAUGGCCAACUUUUAGGCAGCCAACUUUUGGCCUGUACUCUUCCCAUAACACUCUCUUUGGGGAGGCGACCUCAGACCUGAUAGUGAAGCCUGAUGGGCCCUAUGACUUCUACCAGCACCCCAAUGUCCCAGAAGCACAGUACUGUCAACCUGUGCUUCAUGAUUUCGCAGAGACUAUCAAUCAGCUAUUGCAGGACUGGCCAGAACAUCCGGCACUGGUGCAGCUACUGGUUGUAAUGGACAGAAUACGUAGUUUCCCGCUCUCUAGUCCCAUCUCAAAGUUCCUGAAUGGCUUAGAGAUCCUUCUCACAAAAGCACAGGAUUGGGAGGAGAAUGCAAGUAGAACUCUGUCUCUUCGGAAACAUCUCGAUUUAGUCACUCAGAUAAUCAUUCGAUGGCGGAAACUGGAAUUAAACUGCUGGUCUAUGAGUUUAGA